rnacentral:rRNA from 1 species
GAUGAACGCUGGCGGCGUGCCUAAUACAUGCAAGUCGAGCGAACGGACGAGAAGCUUGCUCCUCUGAUGUUAGCGGCGGACGGGUGAGUAACACGUGGAUAACCUACCUAUAAGACUGGGAUAACUUCGGGAAACCGGAGCUAAUACCGGAUAAUAUAUUGAACCGCAUGGUUCAAAAGUGAAAGACGGUCUUGCUGUCACUUAUAGAUGGAUCCGCGCCGCAUUAGCUAGUUGGUAAGGUAACGGCUUACCAAGGCAACGAUGCGUAGCCGACCUGAGAGGGUGACCGGCCACCUGGGACCGAGACACCGGCCAAACCCCCUCGGGGAGGAGCAAGAAGGGAUCCUCCCGAAAGGGGGGAAGCCUGACCGAGGAACCCCGCGGGGAGUAUGAAAGGUUUCGGAUCGUAAAACCCGUUUAAUAGGGGAAAAAAAAUUGGUAAAUAACCGUGCACAUCUUUGCGGUACCUAAACAGAAAGCCACCGGCAACCUCCGGC